ensembl:lncRNA
CCCCCACCACCCACCGCCUGCAUGGGACAGCUCCUGGGAAGAUGAACUCAGAGGCGGUUUUCUGCCCUGCCAGAUGGAAACAUGCUCUCCCAUCCUGCCAGAGAAACAGAUCAGCACGCUGGGUCCACAGAGGGAACCACUGGCUGCCUUGGAAGAACGGCUAAUAGAUCAUGGAAUUCCACCGCCAAGCCAUCAUCUCCAGGCCAACGAGCUUGAAUUAUGACAGAAGGAUUAGGAGCGGGUGGAAACUUGGAGGUCACCCACGAAGACGUUUGAACAUUUGUUUUCUAUCUACAGCCUCAUUUCCCAGCUGCGUAGGACACUUAAUCCAACGUGAAGUCUUGCAUAUUAAACUUUCUCCCUGAUUACAGUCCUCCUCAGUCUUCAGUGAUCUUUGGCACCCAGUGGGCACUUUGAUUUCCCUUGAUGUGUGUGGACGUGAGGGGUUGAGGCCAAGCCUUUUGUAUGACAUCUUGUUUUCUCUCGGGGGUCAGUGCGGCAUGCUAGCUGGAAUGGCAGUGGGGGAACAUGAAGCACGCACUAUGCCUGUCAGUGAAGCAGUGGACAGGCUUGUGGAGGUAGGCCCAGGCAAUCAGGGAUGGCGGUGGUAAUUGGAAUGGUCAGGGCAAGACAGAGGCUCUUCCGGGGGAGCUGAGAUACUACAGGGUGAAGAUUCUGAGCUUCAGAUGAAGCUUCCCCAACUUCAAGCUAUUAAGUUAUUAUGGCUGAUUACAUUCCGAGGGGCCUCGGCUGGCAGGUUCUAAUUGGCAGUACUCCUGUGAUUUUAUGGGAACCAGGCUGGGAUGGGGAAGGCUGAGAUCAGCCCCGCCCAGCAGAGGCCAGAUGAGCUGGGGACUGGAAUCUUUCUUCCGACAUCGUGGCAGCUCAUCUGCAGACCUUUACAACCUUCUGUUCCCAGCAGCCCCUCAGCACAGCUGACCGGGGGUUCUUCGGGAGCUGCCUCCAUUCACAGGGCAGGAGGCCAAGGGCUCGUUUUCCUGGAGCAGCUCAGAACAUUACCCCGCGAAAUGAAGAAUGUGGAAUACUUGAGAUUUCCACUCACACACUCCUGGAAAAAACACAUUAACCUUUAAGAAGGGAAUAAUGGCUUCAUUUUCAAGUGACCUUAUGGAUUAACCCUCGAAGAGCACUUUCUGAGGGGGAACCAUAGCCCGUGGCAGGGACCCAGCAGGUGCAAACAAUGAAGAAAACAGAAAACCUGGCAGAAUCCCUUGGUUAGCCCUGAAGAGAAGCGGAUCACUGUCGACUGACAGCAACAAUAAGAGCGUCCUGGCUCCUGUGAGACACCAAGUCUGCCGGACAGGAGGUCGCCAGCUUCAGGACAAGACCAAGGCUGUCUUCCCUGGAUCUGCCCUUGACCCGGGGCUGAUGGAACAGCUGGGGCUUGGCCAGCACAGCCUGCUUCUCUGUCGGUUGGGUCUCCCUCUGCCAGUCUGAAGGGGGUUCCCACCCCCAGAGAGCUUUUCUGCCAGCCUGCCCCUGCCCCCCCCACCCCAUGUCCUUGAAACACAGACUCCAGGAUCCAUGUGUUGGAGGAAACGGCACAGUCUACACGCCUGGGAUAUUUGCAAAGCAUAGUAAAGGCUCUGAGAAGUCCUGCCAGCAAGAAACCUUUCUGACUUUGUCAAACACCAGUAUUUUCCAAACUGUUCUGGCCACAGGAAGCCCUCUCCCCUUUUUGUAUUUUUUGGAUAACACCUACAAGGGCUUGGCAGUGUUGCUUACCCGUGGAGCGUGCUUUACAAAAGGCAGACUAUACACAUACCUUCUGCGAGGUCAUUUGAGCCACAGGAAAAAAAAGAAAAGAAAAACCAGAGCUCACUGUUCAUUCUCCAGUUCAUCUCUUCAUUUAUCAUGGAAGCAUGCAUUCCUCCAUCCAUCCAUCAUUCAUUCAUCAACACAGGUGUCCGUGGCCAGGCGCCUCCAAGGAGCAGAGACAAACCUGGGUGCUUCUCUGCUUUUGCCAAGCUGCCCAGAUGGCAGGGGAGAUAGCAAUGCCCGUGGGGUAUGAGAUAGAAAAGACAGGCACCUACAUUGUGUC